rnacentral:rRNA from 1 species
GAUUCCCUUAGUAGCGGCGAGCGAACAGGGAAAAGCCCAGCACUGAAUCUAGAGAGGGUAACCGGACACUGGGAAAUGUAGUGUUAGGGAGGAUCCGUUAUCUCGCAUUUUGGGGGCGCGUCCAAGUCCUUCUUGAACGGGGCCACAGCCCAUAGAGGGUGCCAGGCCCGUAGUGACCGCUCCUAUUUGCGAGAGGAUCUCUCCUCAGAGUCGGGUUGCUUGAAAGUGCAGCCCUAAGUGGGUGGUAAACUCCAUCUAAGGCUAAAUAUUACCACGAGACCGAUAGCGAACAAGUACCGUGAGGGAAAGUUGAAAAGUACUCUGAAGAGAGAGUUCAAUAGUACGUGAAACCGUUUAGGGGUAAACCUGAGAAACCCGAAAGGUCGAACGGGGAGAUUCAGCGUGUCUCGAUUAUGGCACUGUGACAGUUGUGCGACGAGCUUUUCCACAUACACAUCUCUUCAUUGAGGUUGUUGUGGUGGUUUGCGUCUUCAGUUCAGUUGACCUAGUUGAACGCGUGCACUUCUCCCCCAGUAGGACGUUGCGAUUCGUUGGGUGUCGGUCUAAGGCCCAUGGUGGAGCUCGUUUACUUGGCUUGCCCAUGUUGAACGGACCCAUGGUGCUUCCCGACCGACACGCUCGACGAUAUACAGAAUGGCGCAAGGCCGCUACAUAUUUAUAGUUAGCGUUUGACCUACGGCAAGCGCGCUUGUUGUGUUGGUGAUCGGACCUGGUGCCGGUCCUGACCACUUGUGGCUGUUGGCUGUAGUGUUCUCAAACAGACCUUGAUGAAACGCCGAUCUGCAACGCUAUAGCUUUGGGUACUUUCAGGACCCGUCUUGAAACACGGACCAAGGAGUCUAGCAUGUGCGCAAGUCAUAGGGUUAAUUACAAAACCUAAAGGCAAAAUGAAAGUAAAAGUCGCGUCUUGCACGUAACUUAGGGAGGAUGGGCGGCCGUUAAUGCAGCCGCUCCGCACUCCCGGGGCGUCUCAUUCUCAUUGCGAGAAGAGGCGCACCAAGAGCGUACACGCUGGGACCCGAAAGAUGGUGAACUAUGCCUGGUCAGGACGAAGUCAGGGGAAACCCUGAUGGAGGUCCGUAGCGAUUCUGACGUGCAAAUCGAUCGUCGGAACUGGGUAUAGGGGCGAAAGACUAAUCGAACCAUCUAGUAGCUGGUUCCCUCCGAAGUUUCCCUCAGGAUAGCUGGCGCUCAUUGUAUACGAGUUUCAUCCGGUAAAGCGAAUGAUUAGAGGCAUUGGGAUCGAAACGAUCUCAACCUAUUCUCAAACUUUAAAUGGGUGAGAUCUUCGGCUUGCUUGAACCACAUGAAGCCGCAAGACCUCGAAUCAGAGUGCCAAGUGGGCCAUUUUUG